AGAACGAACGCUGGCGGCAGGCUUAACACAUGCAAGUCGAACGCUCCUAGCAAUAGGGGAGUGGCAGACGGGUGAGUAACGCGUGGGAACAUACCCUCCGGUUCGGAAUAACUCAGGGAAACUUGAGCUAAUACCGGAUACGGCCUUUAGUCGAAGGAUUGGCGGCGAAAGAUUUAUCGCCGGAGGAUUGGCCCGCGUCCGAUUAGCUAGUUGGUGUGGUAAUGGCGCACCAAGGCGACGAUCGGUAGCUGGUCUGAGAGGAUGAUCAGCCACAUUGGGACUGAGACACGGCCCAAACUCCUACGGGAGGCAGCAGUGGGGAAUAUUGGACAAUGGGCGCAAGCCUGAUCCAGCCAUGCCGCGUGAGUGAUGACGGCCUUAGGGUUGUAAAGCUUCUUUCGCUCGGGACGAUAAUGACGGUACCGAGAUAAGAGCCCCGGCUAACUUCGUGCCAGCAGCCGC
rnacentral:rRNA from 1 species